rnacentral:rRNA from 1 species
CAAUAGCGUAUAUUAAAGUUGUUGCAGUUAAAAAGCUCGUAGUUGGAUUUCUGGCCGAGUGUCCCUAGGCCAGCAUGACGUUUGGUCCUAGGCGCUCUGCCAUCCUUCUGUCAACCUUCGCCUUCUUCAUUGGGGGCGCUGGGGCUCAGAUAUUUUACCUUGAGAAAAUUAGAGUGUUUCAGGCAGGCUUUCGCCGGAAUACAUUAGCAUGGAAUAAUAGAAUAGGACUUUGGUUCUAUUUUGUUGGUUUCUAGGACCGAAGUAAUGAUUAAUAGGGACAGUUGGGGGCAUUAGUAUUUAAUUGUCAGAGGUGAAAUUCUUGGAUUUAUGAAAGACUAACUACUGCGAAAGCAUUUGCCAAGGAUGUUUUCAUUAAUCAAGAACGAAAGUUAGGGGAUCGAAGAUGAUCAGAUACCGU